rnacentral:lncRNA from 1 species
GCCGCGUCGAGCUCCUGCGGGGGCUGCAGGCGUCUGACCUCCCAGCACCUGCGGCUGCCGCCCGGCCGGCGCCCCCCCUCGGGUGCCCCUUGCAGUCCUGCUACUAAAGAGCUGCGGAGCCCGCGCCGCCGAACUAGGGGGUCAGGGAAAGCUUCCGGAGAGGCCCAGGGCGACCGUGGUGACCCUGCUUCCUCGCCGCCACCGCCACUGCCGGACCCGCGGCAGGGGCCCCCGCCGACAGCCACGCACGGAACCGCGAUUCCCGCCAGGAGAGCGAGGCGGACCCGCCGCGCCGUGGCCGCUGCGUCCCGCGCACCUCGUGGACACCGACGCCCUCCGCUCGGCGUGAACUUGGGUGCCGAACCGGCUUCGCGCGCGCACCCUGCACCGCUUUUUGACGUUCUGCAUCAAGUGGUAUUCAGAGCGCUGGGUGGAAAGCGCCGCGCGUCUCCCGGAAACGCCCGAGGGCAGCGGGUGGGAGCAGAGGGACUGUGCUCGGCCCUGCCCGCCGGCCGCCUUAGGGACCCGCGUGCCCGGACACCGGCGCCGGCCUUCGCGCUCCUCUGCGGGCACACGGGCGGGCGAGGCCUGAGCCCCCGCACGCCGGCCGCUCGCCCGCCUCGCCCGGGAAGAGCCUGCUCCCCGCGCCCCGCCGCGGAAACGCGAGGCGCCCCCCUCGGCCCCUACUGCGGCCGCGUCCCUCCGCCCUGCAGCCCGGAGCCACCCGCAAACUUCGCAGCAGUUCGCAGCCGGCCGCCGCGGCCCCGGAGGUGGGCGGGGCGUGCAGGGCCGGGGCNNNNNNNNNNNNNNNNNNNNNNNNNNNNNNNNNNNGGGGCGCCCCAGGAGGGCGUCGCGCUCCCGCCCCCACCCAGGCUUCCGUGCGCGGAGCUCGCGGCCGGGGGGUGCGGGCGGCUCCGGGCCCCCGAGCCGGGCUGGGGCGCCUUUCCCGGGAUCCCGCACAGCCGCCCGCCCCCUCUGCAGCGCGGCUUUGUUCCGAGAGGGCAGGCGGGGCGGGGGUGGAGAAGAGCGUCCUGGAAGCGCGGCUGGUUCUGGGGAGGAGCUGCACCGACGCCGCGGGAGCGAGCUCCGGCCUGGAGUGUCCCCGUGCCCCCCAGGGUUGCCUCAGAGCAGUUAAAAAGAUUUCCUCGUCCUUUUAGUUCUGUUUUGGAGGUUAACGUCGCAGGGGAAACCCGAUCUCCUAAGUGCUGCGAGGUCCGCGCUGCUCCCACUUCGGAGAGUGCUUGGUGUUUCCCCUCCGCUCGGAAAGCUGCCGGGGUUCCGCGGCCCCCAGCCGACCCGGCUCCCUGCCGUCCCUGCUGCCGGGCGGGGUCCGGGAGCCCGAGCCCGAGCCCCAGCCCCUGCGCGCGCCCCGGGCCUCCAGGGGGAGCGGCCGCGGGCCCGGCCCGGUGGGCAGCGCAGCGAGGACGCGCUUUUCCACUUCCCCUGCGAAGCGCGAGGCAGAGGUCGGUGCUCAGCGGGCCCCUCGGAUGA